rnacentral:rRNA from 1 species
UACGAAGGGGGCGAGCGUUGUUCGGAUUUACUGGGCGUAAAGGGCGCGCAGGCGGCUACAUUUGUCAGGCGUGAAAGCCCCGGGCUUAACCUGGGAACUGCGUUUGAUACGGUGUGGCUAGAGUUCGGGAGAGGAGAGUGGAAUUCCCAGUGUAGAGGUGAAAUUCGUAGAUAUUCGCAAGAACACCAGUGGCGAAGGCGGCUCACUGGUCCGGUACUGACGCUGAGGUGCGAAAGCGUGGGGAGCAAACAGG